GGGCUGCUGCUGCCGAGGUCGUGUGCGACGUGCCGCUCCCGGGCCCUGUGUCCCCAGCCCCAGCAGGGCCGCGUGGACGGCGCGGCGCCCCCGGAAGGAGGCCAUGUGCUCAGUGCCGGCGCCAACUACGCACGCGGCGCCCUCCGGCCCGCUAGAUCCGAAGCCCAUCCCCACUGCGGCCAGCGGCCCGGCGGGGCGCUGCGCUCGGGACCCGCACCGAGCCAGGCUCGGAGAGGCGCGCGGCCCGCCCCGGGCGCACAGCGCAGCGGGGCGGCGGGGGAGGCCCUGGCCGGCGUAAGGCGGGCAGGAGUCUGCGCCUUUGUUCCUGGCGGGAGGGCCCGCGGGCGCGCGACUCACCUUGCUGCUGGGCUCCAUGGCAGCGCUGCGCUGGUGGCUCUGGCUGCGCCGGGUACGCGGGUGGCGACGGGCGUGCGAGCGGCGCUCUCCCGCUCAGGCUCGUGCUCCGGUCCGGGGACUCCCACUGCGACUCUGACUCCGACCCCCGUCGUUUGGUCUCCUGCUCCCUGGCGUGCUCACUCGGGGACCCGCGACUAGCGACCGGCACGCUCGCUGUUGCUACCUCUUGCCUCUUGCCAGAGAGCGCGCGGACCGUAGCGUUUAUAGGACCCCGGCCAUUGGCUGGCGACGCCGGUGUGUCAGGGGUGUGUGGGCAGGACCUCGGGGCGGGGCCUGGGGCCCAGCCUGUCCUGGGCGGCGCUCUGCGGGGAGGGGGUGAGGGGAGUGGCCGGGGCCGGGGCCCCCCCUAACCACUGCCUCGCUCAGGCUGCCGAUCGGCUCGUUCUCUCUGCGUUGGGACCGCGGAGGGCAUUCGCUGUGUGACUCAGGGCAAGUGUGCGCACCUCUCUGAGCCUCCGCGGCCUUCUCUAGCAAAAUGGUGGAGCCGGUACCCGGCUGUAAGGCAAGCUGGGAUGCGCGGAGUAGCGGGUGGAAAGCUGGACUGGAGUUCUCACUCGGCCGCUGGGUGACUUCGGUGCACUAGGGAUAGUAACAGUACCACCUCGUAGGGUUGUAGAAAGACCAAGUGAGUUAAUAUUUGUAAAGUGUUUAGAACAGCGUCUACUGCAUGGAAAGUAGUAUUUAUUUGUUAGAGAGACUCCAGGAGGUCUUGCCCAGGGAUUGACUUCUCCCUUCCCUGUCUCCACCCCCCACAUUCCCGUUUGUGAGCCAAGCCUUGCUUUUGCACCGGCCGGGCUCUCUUGCCUGGAAAUGCAUACCCAUCUCAAACCUGGGCUUUAAAAUCACCUCCUCUGGGACGCCUUCCUCUACUUCUCACAGUUCAGGUGAGUCUAUGGUGACCUGUAAGUGUGGAAAAUAUGAAAGGCAGGCUAACUGACUGACAUGAUAGGACAUUAAGGACAUGAUAGACCUCGGGUUUGAACCAGCUCAACUGUAUACUGGCCCGGCCGCGAUCCUGGGCGAGUUCCUGGCCAGUGAGGCUGUUUUCGUUUUUUUCUUUAAUUUUUUUUUUUCUCAGACAGAGUCUCGCUCUGUCGCCCAGGCUGGAGUGCAGCGGCACGAUCUCGGCUCACUGUAACCUCCGCCUCCCGGAUUCAAGCAGUUCUCUGCCUCAGCCUCCCGAGUAGCUGGGAUUACAGGCGCCCGCUAUCACCCCUGGCUAAUUAUUUUUAUUUUUAGUAGAGACGGGGUUUCACCAUUUUGGCCAGGCUGGUCUUGAACUCUUGACCUCGUGAUCCACCCACCUCGCCUCCCAAAGUACUGGGAUUACAGGCGUGAGCCACUGAGCCCGGCCGAGGCUGUCUUCUUAUGAGUAAAUGGAAUUCCCACACCAAUCUCAUUGCUAUCAGGAGAGGUGCAAUUUCCAGAUAAGCUCAUGAAGUGUUUAGCAUGGAAGUUCUCAUUUACUGGUUGGUGGUAUUGUUGGUUUAUUUAUUUAGUCUGUUAGUAAAUAAAUAAAUGCUGGUCUCAAACUCCUGGGCUCAAGUGAUCCUCCCACCUUAGCCUCCGUAGUAGCUGGGAGUGCAGGCAUGUGCCACUGCACUGGUAGUGGUAUUGCUAUCAUCUGACUUCACCUUAUUUCCUCUAGACCAGUGCCUUACUUGAGACACAGUGAAGGGAAGGACCCCCAGUCCAAAGGUCUGAUCAAAGUCUUGAGGGUCCCUUUCCCGAUGGAGGGAGUCAUGGUGGGCUUACUGUCUGUCGGAAACCGGGAGGCUGAGCCGACCAGAUGACCCCUGGAGUUCUCUGGCAAUGUGUCCAGUUCUGGCUGAGGGGCACCUUGGUUGAGUAUGGAGCCCUGAAACAGAAGGCAGGUGCAUUCUGGGCACCCCCCUGCCCAAGGCUUCAAUUCCUGUGGUCUCUCUAUGCUCAGCCUGGAAAGCUUGGGCCACCUCUCUCCUCACCCCUGGACAGACCAAGUCCUGCUGACUCCGCUGUCUACACCACCUCAUCCUCCUUCCCUCCCCUGCUGUCUGCAGGGCCUCCAUCUCCUCUGGUCUUUUGUCCUCCAGUCCUGCACCCUGCCACUCUCCUGCUCAUCUGUCUGAAAUUGUCAUGGAGGGAGUAAGGGCCAAGCCUGGCCAUCACGGUCCUUCUUCAUGGCACCAGUUUACACGCUCAGCCUCGCCCCUCACACCAGCAACUCACAUCCACACAUUUGCUCAGCUUGUCUCCUCUGCCUGGGAAGCCCUCCCCGACCUCACCAUGCCAAAAAGCACCAUGGGUCCUUCCUCCUCCGGGAAGUGUCCCUGGUUCUCCCAAGUGGAAAUCUUUCUCUCCUUUACCAUUUGGUGUUUUGUAGGUUGCCACUUGUCCUCUGUCUGCCUUCCCUCAGCCUGUGAGCACCUUGAGGACAGGUUCUGCAGCUGAGGCACGUGGGUGAAUGACUGAAGGAGGGAAGGAAUGCACGAAUGAGUGAGCAGCUAAUCUACCUGUGUUGAAUGUUCCUUCCCCUCCAGUCCGUCCUGCUGAUACUUCCAGUCUUUCCUUAAGUACCUUUUGGGUUUUGCUACUUCCCUCCUCAAAGUCUCUCCACAGCUCCUUGUUUCUUAGCACAUCCAGUCUAUGCCUUUUCCCAGUUGCGGGUCUGCCUUACUCAGCCCAUGGGUCACACUCACCAAACAGCCACCUUGUCCUUCUCUGGGCCAGCCCCAUGCUGGCCACUUUCCCAGGGACAGAGACAUGUGACCCCAUUGUUAGCCUCAUGGAGGCCCCAAGCUGGAGGAGGAGCAAGAGGGGAAAUGAGCAGCAACAAUACCAAGUCAAGCGUAGAGGGUUAAGAAUCUGUACAGGUGCAGAACUUGUACCACAGGGGAAGGAGAGUGAGUAGAGAGAGCAUCUGGGAAGGGGGAGGUCAUGCUAAGCAGGGUUUGGAAGACUGAAUAGGAGUUCACCAGAUGGAUUGAGGGAAGGCCAUUCUCAGCAGAGAGAAGAGCAUGUGCAAAGGCAGCAGACUGCCAGAAUGAUUACCUAGGGAACGUGAGAAUCUCUGGGCCACUCUUAGAGAUUCAUGAUGGAGCCCCAGAUCCGGACUCUUUGAGUCCCAGCUCUGCUAUUUACUUGCAAACAUUCAUGGGCAAACAAUGCCUUCUCUUCUCUGAGCCUGAAGACCCACAUCUGUAAAAUAGAUAUAACAAACCCUUCCUGGGUAGGCCUGAGGGAAAGUGGAUGUUUAUAAAGGCUUAGCUAUGUAAACUGUACUCAUUCUUGACGUGAGAAGUUCAGUCAAAUCCCCAUCCCAUGGUAGGGCGGUGCUUGAGGAAAAAGCACAGUGGCCAAAAAAAAGCUUUUCCUUCACCCACCCCACCCCACCUGCCCACACACAGACCCCCAUUACCUUCUCUGUGUUCCUCUCUGUGAAUGUUUUAUGACCCCUGGAGGCUACUGGUCAGAAGCAAAUUCAUCAGAAGCUAUUGACGCUGCAUCACAGACUAGAUUCUCAGGUGGACUGGUUUGUUAUUUGGGUGGCUGAUUCCUUGGAAGCAGAAUUUAACUCCAACUAGGGAAUGAGCCCUAGAGAAGGCCCCAGGAAAUAGCACAUGAGCAGAGAAGGUUUGGGUGCAAGGGGAAAGGGGAGCAGGAGGGGCACCUAAGUAGCCCCUGUGGCUGGGGCAUGGGGGCUUAGGGAGGAGAAGAGACUGAAGAAGUGGAAUCACAGAGGCUCCCAAAUGCCAGGUAUAGGAGUUAGGGCUUUAUGCAGUGGGUAGUGGCGAGCCAUGGAGAGUUAUUGAGCAGGGAAAGGACCUGAGGAAACCUCAGUGUCCCCACAAGCCUACUCUACCUGAGGCACUAAAGGGGGUGUGAGGAGGCUGUGGAACCCCAGCAUUCAGCUUGAACGACCUAGUGCCCCUUCCCUAGUCUGCGCCCACACUGACAGCUUUAUUCCCUGGAGGCUGCCUUUAGUCCUGGACGGAACUCGGCCUCUUCUGGGUCCGAUUCUAAGCAGUUCCAGCCCCAGCUAGUCUGGAGGAAAAGAGCUCUCUGGGACUGGCUAGCAGGGAGGUGUCAGGUGCCAGGCGGAUGCUGGAGCCUAGUGUGUGCCUCAGAGCACGCAAGUGGGUGGGGGAGGGGUGGUGGUGGUGAUGGUGGUGGUGGCAGGGCCGUGCAGGGCGGGUCCUAGCAGCUCCAGAGUUAGGAGUGAGUAAGGCGGGCUGGGAAAAGACUCUGUUGCCUUUAAAGGCAAGCGUCCCUGGCAGCCAGGAGGAAAGGUUUUGCUGAGUCAGCUACAAUUGGUACAAGAGGGGAUAGCAGGGGCUGGGACGGAAGCCCCCCUAAUCCAAAGGGUGUUUUGCAAUUCAAAUCCUCCUGGAUUGCAGGUAAACACAGUGAUGGAUUCCAGGAAGGUCUGAUGGGCCAGGCAGGACAGUUUUGUGUGUUUAAUGUUUUCAUUCUGAUUUGCACAUCUGCUUGAACCACCUGCUUUCAGAAAGCUUUUCGGCAUCCCUUCUUUAUCUUCUGUAUGCCCUCCGACCCUCUGCAAAUGCACUUAUCAGGGCUACCACCUGCUCGCUGAUGCUGGGGGAAUUGAAGGCACAUACUCCCCUCCCUUCUCUCCUGACUACCAGGCUUUUCUGUCCAGCUGCCUCCAGGAUGUCCCUCUGGAUGUCCCACAGGUCCCUCACACUCACCAUGCUCAAACCUGAACUCAUUAUCUUUGCCCAUCCCUUCCUGUCCCCACCCUAGAAAUGGCUCCUCUAGCCACCAAAUUGCCCUAGCCAGAGAUCUGGUAUCUUCCCUGACCCCUCUCUGUCUCCCUCAUUCCCCAUAUCCAGUCAAUCCCGUGGACUUUGCCUGCCCAUCCCGUGGACUCUGCCUGCCCUCUCCAUGCAGACAGUCCCUCCUCCAGCAUAGGCUAGGACCACUAUUCAUUCAUCCUCCUCCCUGCCACCACACUGGUCUCUUUAAAAUGCACAGCUGACCACAUCACUGCUUUGUUCAAACAUCUUUCCAUGGCACGCAAUAAUGUGGCUGAAUCUCACAGACAUAUUGAGUGAUAGCAGCUGUGCGAAAGAGUGUGAUGUCAUGUGUAUAAAGUUUAAAAACAGGCAAAACUUAUCUCCGGGGUAACAGUAGUUACCCUUGGAAGGGAGGGUCGCGACUCUGGGGGCGGGUGCUGGUAAUCAGGGUGAGGCAGGUGGAGACCAGAUCAGCAGUACUGAUGUUUUUUCCUUUUGCCUCGAGCUUUAAUAUGACUCAGCACAGCAUGUUACUAAUCCUGUUUUUAUUUAAAAUUUUGAUAUUUUGUCAUCAUGGAUUUUUUGCAUUAAUUCUGGUUUUUCAAAAAUACUGCAUUAAAAAUAUUAUUUAUCCUGAUGACAGAGUCCGCCGCCCCCCUCUACCCCCCUCCACCCCUGCUUAAAUUUUACAGGGGAGGUGAGUGCCUUUCUUGUGACACCCUGUUUCUGACCGUGUUGGUAAUGUUGUUUCCUCAUCAGGGUGCUGGUUGCGGGUGUGUUUAGUUUGUGAAAAUGCAUUGAGGUGUGUACAUUUCUGAUUUUCGUACUCUUCUGAAUGCAUAUUUUGCUUCAAUUAACCAAAUUGAAUUUUUUUUUUUUUUUUUUUUUACUUAAAAUAUUUCUGUAAUUCCAAGGGAGUGUCUCCAUCUGCUUCUUCCAGUGUCCCCAGCACCAAAAACAGCACCUGCCUCACACUGGGUCUCCUACAUUUUUGUUGAAUGAAGGAAUACAACAUUUCAGUUAAUUUAAUUCCAACAGCAACUCUAUGAAAUAAGUAUUUCUCUAUUUUCUUUUUUUUUUCUUUUUUUGAGAUGGAGUCUCACUGUUGCCAGGCUGGAGUGCAGUGGCGCAAUCUCGGCUCGCUGUAACCUCCGACUUCCGGGUUCAAUAGAUUCUUCUGCCCCAGCCUCCCAAGUAGCUGGGAUUACAGGUGCGCACCACCACGCCCAGCUAAUUUUUGUAUUUUUAGUAGAAACGGGGUUUCAUGAUGUUGGCCAGGGUGGUCUCGAUCUCUUGACCUCGUGAUCCGCCCGCCUUGGCCUUCCAAAGUGCUGGGAUUAUAGGCGUGAGCCACUGCGCCUGGCCUUUUUCUCUCUGUUUUCUAAAGGAGAAAACUGAGGCUCAGGGAAGUAAUUUGCCCAAAAUCACACAGGUAGUGUGAGUUCCAGCACCUGGAUUGAAAAAAUAAAUGGAGUCAGGUGUGGUGGUGCGUGCCUAUAGUCCCAGCUACUAAAGAGGCUGAGGCAGGAGGAUUGCUUGAGCUCAAAAGUUCAAGUCCAGCCUGGGCAACAUGGUGAGACCCCAUCUCUAAAAAUAAAUAAAUAGGCCAGGCGCAGUGGCUCACACCUGUAAUCCCAGCACUUUGGGAGGCCAAGGCAGGGGGAUCAUGAGGUCAGGCAUUCGAGACCAGCCUGACCAACAUGAUGAAACCCCAUCUUUCCUAAAAAUACAAAAAUUAGCCAGGCGUGGUGGUGUGCACCUGUAAUCCCAGCUACUUGGGAGGCUGAGGCAGAACAACCUAUUGAACCCAGGAGACGGAGGUUGCAGUGAGUUGAGAUUGCACCACUGUACUCCAGCCUGGGCAACAGAGCAAGACUCCGUCUCA
rnacentral:lncRNA from 10 species